rnacentral:rRNA from 1 species
GUAGGAUAGAGGCCUACCAUGGUGGUAACGGGUAACGGGGUGUUAGGGCACGACACCGGAGAGGGAGCCUGAGAAACGGCUACCACAUCCAAGGAUGGCAGCAGGCGCGCAAAUUACCCAAUCCCGACACGGGGAGGUAGUGACAAUAAAUAACAAUACGGGGUCCUUUCGGGUUUCGUAAUUGGAAUGAGUACAAUUUAAAUCUCUUAACGAGGAACAAUUGGAGGGCAAGUCUGGUGCCAGCAGCCGCGGUAAUUCCAGCUCCAAUAGCGUAUAUUAAAGUUGUUGCAGUUAAAAAGCUCGUAGUUGAAUUUCGGGAUCAGUACGCCGGUCGUGCCUUCGGUAUGCACUGGUGUCACUGGUUUCUCCCUUCUGAAGAACCAUCAUGCCAUUCAGUUGGUGUGGCGGGGAAUCAGGACUGUUACUUUGAAAAAAUUAGAGUGUUUAAAGCAGGCUCGCGCUUGAAUACAUUAGCAUGGAAUAAUGAAAUAGGACGUUUGACCCUAUUUUGUUGGUUUCUAGGAUCGACGUAAUGAUUAAUAGGGAUAGUUGGGGGCAUUAGUAUUCAAUUGUCAGAGGUGAAAUUCUUGGAUUUAUUGAAGACUAACUACUGCGAGAGCAUUUGCCAAGGAUGUUUUCAUUAAUCAAGAACGAAAGUUAGGGGAUCGAAGACGAUCAGAUACCGUCGUAGUCUUAACCAUAAACUAUGCCGACUAGGGAUCGGAUGAUGUUAAUUUUUUAAUGACUCAUUCGGCGCCUUACGGGAAACCAAAGUGUUUGGGUUC